rnacentral:rRNA from 1 species
AAGAGAGCUUGAUUGCAAGACAUACAGGUCGAGCAAGGAUGAAAAUCGGACUUAGGGAUACGGUGGUUCUGCGUGGACGGGCCAUCGCUCAACGGAUACAAGCUACCCUGGGGAUAACAGGCUUAUCUACCUCAAGAGUCCACAUCGACGGGGAGGUUUGGAACCUCGGUGUCGGCUGAUCACAUACUGGGGCUGUAGUAGGUCCCAAGGGUUGGGCUGUUCGCCCAUUAAAGUGGCGCGUGCUGAGUUCAGAACGUCGUGGUACAGUUCUGUCCAUAUCCUUCGCAGGCGUAGGAAAUUUGAUAUGACCUGUCCUUAGUACGAGAGGACCGGAAUUGACGUACCUCUGGUGUACCAGUUGUCCUGCCAAGGGCAUGGCUGGGUAGCUAUGUACGGAAUGGAUAAG